GAUGAACGCUAGCGGCAGGCCUAAUACAUGCAAGUCGAACGGUGUAGCAAUACACAGUGGCGCACGGGUGCGUAACACGUAUGCAACCUACCUUACAUUGGGGGAUAGCCUUUCGAAAGGGAGAUUAAUACCGCAUAAGACAGUAACUAGGCAUCUAGUAGCUGUUAAAGGUUUAUCGAUGUAUGCUGGGCAUGCGUCCAAUUAGUUAAGUGGCGAGGUAAUGGCUCACCAAGACGAUGAUUGGUAGGGGAACUGAGAGGGAAAUCCCCGACACUGGCACUGAGAUACGGGCCAGACUCCUACGGGAGGCAGCAGUAGGGAAUAUUGGGCAAUGGGCGCAAGCCUGACCCAGCCAUGCCGCGUGCAGGAAGAAGGCGUUAUGCGUUGUAAACUGCUUUUAUACAGGAAGAAACGACCCUUGCGAGGGGCAUUGACGGUACUGUAUGAAUAAGCACCGGCUAACUCCGUGCCAGCCGCCGCUGUAAUAC
rnacentral:rRNA from 1 species